rnacentral:piRNA from 1 species
UGCAAUAGCGAUUCCUCGCUCCU